rnacentral:lncRNA from 1 species
GUGAAGAAGGGAAUGAGGGACGGAAAGAGAGAGACAGCGAAGAGAGGAGAAAGAGUUUCAGAAUUUGGCAAAAGUCUCAAGGCUCAAGCUGGUUGUCUGAAGCCUUUCAAACCCCCAGUUUUAUCACCACAUAUGAGGGAAUAAGAAGAGGAUUCCUUCCUAAUUGCUAGCUUCUGUUAGCAGUAGCUGAUGCCAUGGCCCCUGCUGCCAGCUCUCAAUCUUCACCUGAGCCAGGUGGCACCCCUUUGAGAAAUAGGGUACUACCCCUUCACCUCCUUCACCUGCCAAUCUGGGCUUCCUCUGUGGAGGUCCCAACACCCACUGGUCUGUGUCCUCUUCUCAGAGGUCCCAGCACCAACCGCACCAGCCACAGGACUCCUCUUCUCGGUGGUACAACCAGCAGCUUCCAGGCCCAGCCACAUAUCCAGAGCUUGGGGAUCAGGUAUAGAGAGCCAAUCCCCUGGGAACCCAUGCAUUAGUCCCAGGGGGCCUCUCCUCCAAGCGCCUACAUUCUGGAAAAGCCUCAAGUUUCUACAGUCAUGAUACCUGGGAAACUCAGUGCUCCCUUUUGGAUUUUUCUUAGCCCUUCAACACCUAUGUAAAUCUGCAUGAAAUUUCCACUGUUUGAAUAGAGUGUCAUUCCCUGCUGAGCCCUAACUGAUACGCUGUGUUUCCAGUGUCCCUCAUCCACUAGACUCAGUGGUGUCAGGAAUGGUGUGGUAUUUUGUUAUAAAUUUAACUCCUUAGAUGGACACACAGAGAGCCUCGAUAAAUAUUUUUAAUCCAUCAAUGCAAGGAGUGUGGUUGUCAGAAGUCAGCUAAAAGUCCAAGUUUAAAUCUAAGCUCCGCCGUUCACAGCUUGGGUGACCUCAGCUUCUUUUUUGGAAAUGAAGUUCAUAUUUUCCGAGCACUUUUUCUGUGCCAGGUGCUUCCAAAUGUAUCUCGUUUAAUCCUCACAACAUACCUCAGAGGAAGACAUCAUUUUUACAAGUAAGGAAAUAGAGGCUCAGAGAGAUGAAGUGGUUGACCCGGGCUGUCUAUCUUGUAAAUGGUGGGCUGUGAUUCCCACACGACUGGAGUUUCUGGAGUCAGAGGCUGCCUGGAGUCAGGGGCUGCCUGACUCCAGAAACCAUUUUCUGUGCAUUUCAUGUAGCUCCACCUCAAUUGCCUUCCUUUCCUCAUCUGCAGACUGAUUAAAUAAAAUGUAUAAUUUGGAUGAAAUUUGAUAAAUAAUUCUGAAUGCAUUCUUUUUUAGAAUAAAUUAUCUGCAGUUCAGUACUUUAUUCUUACUAAUAAAUUCCAAGCAACA